CCGAGUUUACAACUCCCAAACCCCUGUGAACCAUACCUGUCACUGUUGCUUCGGCGGUACCGCCCCCGGGUCACACCGGAAGCCAGGCGCCCGCCGGGGAACCACACCAAACAUUUUGAAUCUCUGUACAAUAAGGCAUCUUCUGAGUGGGUAAUUAUACCUGUAAAAAAUGAAUCA
rnacentral:misc_RNA from 1 species